GGUGUCAUGGGGACACUUUCAUGGACUCCUCACUUCAGGACCCUCUUACUGGGUUUCUCACACCCCUUUCAUAGUUUAUCUUUUCGCCGCUUUUCUGUAAUCAUAUCAGAGACUGAUGAUUGUUGGUGACUGCUUUUGUUGCUGUGAUUAGAAUCACAGAGCAGAAGAAGCACCACUAACCAGUGGAAGCAUCUCAGUGCAGAGCACAGAAGUAUGACUGCAAUAUACACGAAAUAGAACUAGAAUGCCUAGUUCUGUAAGUAUAUCACACACUAGGACACAGGUAUGUGUGAGAACCCCGCAUUAUGAAGAUCAGCCAUUAGAAAACCACUGUGUAAAAGGAUCCACUCAAGAUAAGAGCAGCUGCCAUUUGGAGAAAUUGAAAAAGGUAUGAAAUCAGAAAGUCAGAUCACAGAAGAGAAUAUAUGUUUACUUCCAAAUUUAAAUUUUAAAAGUGUGAUGGCUAUAUUAAAAGUGCAAUUUACUUAACUGUCCUGCUUAAAGCUUUGGGGUAAUUGUCUAGGUGGAUCUUAAGUGUAUUUCUCAGUUCAAACAAGCAAUAGUUUCCCAGGUGAAUUGAGAAGGGAUCAGAACCUAAGGUCAGGGAGAUUCAUUCUGAAAAAAAAGAUUCAUAUGUGGGAAACACCCCUAUUUUUUUCCCACUGGGACACAGGGGUGCACACCUGGUCAUCUCUAAGUGGCAGUAACACAUAUGAAGCAGACCCUUGUGGUACUGAAAUGUAUUAACCCAAAGACCUGUCACCACAUACUCGAGCAUCCAGACUGAAAUACUUAGAGAGAUCAGCUUCCAACAGAAUUAAAAGGUAGAUCCCAAGGAUCCAUUUUGAGCACCUUUUUUCAGCCUUUAGUUUUAACUGGAAAUGUAGGGACUGUGAGUUACUGUCUCAUAUUUUGAAAUGAAGGUCUUUUGUUUGAGGAAUUUGCAUUUCAUCGUAGAAACCACGUUCUUGGUUUAGUUACUUUCUACCAAAGGAAGUUCUUCCUGUGUUUUGCAAGUAGGAUGAAGAACCUAACAGACUCCAAUUUAAAAAGAAUAUCAGAGAUAUAUAAUUACACUGGUUUAAAAGAAAUGGGGAAUCUAAUUUCAGAUUGCCACAUGAUGAGAGCUGUUGAAGUCGUUAUCACGGUAUCUGAGUUAGUCACCUAGAUCACAUAUAAUAGAUUCUCAAAUAGAUUUUAAAUCAGUUAUAAUAGUAAUUAAGACUUUGUUGAGCAUCCCAAGUAAAGACAGGAUACUUCAUAUUUCGUAUGAGUUAAAAUCUUAAUAUUAAAAAAAUGUAUAUAACUUGUCUUAAGACCUAGAAAAAAGCAUUGUUGACAUAUUUAGGCCUGUAAUAAAAUAAAGCCACUUCUUUGUAGGUUAUUUUGAAGAUGCAUGUUACCUAGAAGUUUUCAUAAGCCAAGCCUUAGCCUCACAGCACUUUACUUUCAUGAAAAAGAUUUAAAAGAAUUAAGAAAUUGUAAGGACUUCUAGAGAGGUGCAUGCCUUAUUUUCUAAGCCAUUAAAGGUAUACAAUUCUAUGAUUCACAGGCAAAGAAACCCAAAGUAGUUUAUAUAUUUAUUAGGAAAAUACCUGGGACAUAUUUACAUAAAGAGGGAUGGAAAAUGUGUGACAAAUUUGACAUUUAAAAAAAUUAAGAUUUACAUUGUAAUGACAGCAGUGAUUCAGGUUGUAAAGAUUGAUUUACAGUGGAUUAAAAUUCUGCUUAGAUAGUCUUUAUCUAGAACCAGGAAAUUCAACUUUCAGAAAGUCAUUUUCUGAUUCCUAUUUAGGGAGAAGUAAGAUGAACCAAAAAAAAUAUGUGGUAACCCAAAACAGUAACAAAAGAAACCUCCUUGGUGACCUAAAUAACUGUAUAUGAAAAUAAUAAUGUCAUCUGAUAUGGAAACAUGUAACCGAAAACUUUAAAAUCAACAAGUGAAGACAAAUAGUACCCAUGAAUAAUGUUUAAUGCUGUGGUUUUUUGUGGAUUUUUUUCUGUCACUAAAAUGGAAUAUUUUUCUCACUGCUGCACUCUCUUGUCAUCUAGCUCUGCCAAAUUUUUGGCUAUUAAAUCUCUGAAUCAACUCA
rnacentral:lncRNA from 1 species